rnacentral:rRNA from 1 species
ACGGCAGUACAAUGCUGAAUAUACCGGUUCUCAUUAGAUCACCGAAGUCAAGCAUCAUUGGGCGCGGUCAGUACUUGGGUGGGUGACCACCUGGGAACACUGCGUGCCGUU